rnacentral:rRNA from 1 species
UACGUAGGGCGCAAGCGUUGUCCGGAAUUAUUGGGCGUAAAGAGCUCGUAGGCGGUCUGUCGCGUCUGGUGUGAAAAUCCAGGGCUUAACCCUGGACCUGCAUCGGGUACGGGGCAGACUAGAGUGCGGUAGGGGAGAUCGGAAUUCCUGGUGUAGCGGUGAAAUGCGCAGAUAUCAGGAGGAACAGCCGGUGGCGAAGGCGGGUCUCUGGGCCGGUACCGACGCUGAGGAGCGAAAGCGUGGGGAGCGAACAGG